rnacentral:rRNA from 1 species
UACGAAGGGGACUAGCGUUGUUCGGAAUUACUGGGCGUAAAGCGUACGUAGGCGGAUUUGUAAGUCAGGGGUGAAAUCCCGGGGCUCAACCUCGGAACUGCCUUUGAUACUGCAAAUCUCGAGUCCGAUAGAGGUGGGUGGAAUUCCGAGUGUAGAGGUGAAAUUCGUAGAUAUUCGGAAGAACACCAGUGGCGAAGGCGGCUCACUGGACUGGUAUUGACGCUGAGGUGCGAAAGCGUGGGGAGCAAACAGG